UACGUAGGGUGCGAGCGUUAAUCGGAAUUACUGGGCGUAAAGCGUGCGCAGGCGGUGAUGUAAGACAGAUGUGAAAUCCCCGGGCUCAACCUGGGACCUGCAUUUGUGACUGCAUCGCUAGAGUACGGCAGAGGGGAUGGAAUUCCGGCGUGUAGCAGUGAAAUGCGUAGAUAUGCGGAGGAACACCGAUGGCGAAGGCAAUCCCCUGGGCCUGUACUGACGCUCAUGCACGAAAGCGUGGGAGC
rnacentral:rRNA from 1 species